GGCCUGUUAGCUCAAUCGGCAGAGCGUGGUGCUAAUAACGCCAAGGUCCUGGGUUCGAUCCCCAGACGGGCCA
rfam:Folsomia candida strain VT population Fcan01_Sc047, whole genome shotgun sequence.